UUUAAUAUCAUCAUGAAGAUUAUCAUUGCUACAUUAGCUAACAUUAGCCGCAACAAUGAUGUUAAUAAAUAUCUUAUAACUAUUAAAUUAACAUUUCAAUUAUACAUUAGCUAGAGGUUCAAAUCCCAAGACCUAAGCCUAGACCUAGACUCUAGAGUGAAGCCCUAAACCUAAGUGAUCCAAACCUUAGAUUAUAAUCUUGGCCAUAGAUAGUUUGUACAACUUUGAUCUAACCAUACGAUCUUAUGAUUCAUGUUAGGAUUUGACUCUAAGGGCGUCUUAGCGACACUAGAAGGUGAUUCAAAGUAUAAGGUAGUACAGGUGGCUUUAGUGAUAUGUAUGUUCAGACUUGAUGAGGAGCAGGGUACGAUUGCCAAGGAUGCAUGGCUGUAUUUACCUGGAGGAGCUACGUGAUCUUGCGGCUUAUAUUUAUAUGCUUUUCGCUAUUCUUCAUGUAUUAAAUUUUUGUAAAUCUUGUACUUGUUAAAUUCAGAGACAUUGGUUUGUAUAAGUCAUUAUGGGCAGCUUCUUGUAAAUUUGAAUGAUAAUGAAAUUUUCAUUUAUGUCCAUUUGUCCACACUACGCUCA